UACUAAAACCCUAACCACUCUUUAUCUCUCUGAUUUCAAUUUUUUGUUCUUUUCUAUCUGAUUUUCUCCUUCUCACACACACUUGAUCCCCAUUCUCAAAUCUAAUUUUUCCCUAGUUCCAUUCAUUAAACCUCUCUUUUCAUUUUCUUCUCUCUGUCUUUUGGUCUUUUAGUUUUUCUGUUUGUUUUCGAUUGGUGAAAUUUUCUUUCUAGAAUUUAUUCGGUAUUGUGUUUUCUUUUUUUUGUUCGUGUUGAUGGAUCGAUACCAGAAGAUGGAGAAGCCAAGAGCAGAAAUUUCAAUCGAUGAAAACGAAAUCUUGAUUUCAAGGGUUUGAGGCUCUAAAAUUGUUUGAAAUGUCUCAGACUACGAAAUUGAUGCCGAAUCUGGAUCAGCAGACCACGAAGGUGCUCAAUCUCACAAUGCUUCAGCGAAUGGAUCCAUUCAUCGACGAGAUUCUCUUCACCGCCGCGCUUGUCUCUUUCUACGACUUCAACAUCGAAAGCAACCAAUGGUGUCGCAAGGAUGUUGAAGGAUCUCUCUUUGUUGUCAAGAGACGGUGACAUGAACACAUCAGCUAAUAGCAACAUUGAGGAUACGUCAAUACACCAGAUCAGUUGUGAGUAAGAUUGCAGAAAGGCAGACAUUGUCGUCUCUUUUAAACAGGUACACUUGUGAUAAAUAAAAUAUAUGCGGCGACUUCAGUUUGGAUGUAGCACCCAAUUUAGGCUUAGUGGUGUGAACCAGAAUAUAUCGUGUGUCUUUUGUCUCUCUGAUUUAAUUUUUGAAUAUUCUGUUUUGAGACUAAAAGUAACAUUGUUUCUGGUUCAUUAUUGUUUCUGCUGUAGCAGUUUUCUGUUAUAUUUUUAGAAUGCUAUAGCACCUUACUGGUACUGAUAUAAUUACUGUAGCACUUAAACUGUUUUCUAAUAUUUGGAAGUUAGUCAUUUUCUGGUUUUUGUAAGAAAGCUUAUUGUUGCUUUUGUUCUAUAAAAUAAAAGGUC